ensembl:lncRNA
GUUUAUGUUAGUGAAGUGACUUUUGGAAAGCCCCUAGGGAUGCUAUUCACUAGAGGAACCAACUGGCUACUGAAAAGUUUUUCACCAAAAGGAAUUUGAGGCAGCUUGCAAAAUUGAUUAAUAGGAUUGGAAAACAGACUUCAGAGCCAAACUUGGAUUUUAUCUGGAAGAAAGUUUCACCACAGCACACAGCUGUUGUGACCAGGAGAGACGGUGUGCUUCUGUGAACACAGGAUGUGCAGGCGGCAUCCUGGACUCCUUCACCUUCAGUGUUAAUAGAGGAGGUGGUCCCAGACACCAUGGGAAGGCAGCUGCUGCAGACCUGGGGGCUGUCUCCUUCUCCCUGGAGCUCCAUGGCUACUGGGCUCGGCUUCAGACACAGCCUUCACCUUCUGCUGUUACAUUUUCAUCAGGUGCCACGUUGCUGCACUCCUGUGCCUGGGAGACCAUCUGCCUCCUCUCACUGUGUUCAGACCAACCCCCAGGACUCUGCUCCAGAGGCAGGAGGCACCUGAAAGAGAGUUCCAGUUCUGGC